rnacentral:rRNA from 1 species
AUACGUAGGGGGCGAGCGUUGUCCGGAAUGAUUGGGCGUAAAGGGCGCGUAGGCGGCCCGGUAAGUCUGGAGUGAAAGUCCUGUUUUUAGGAUGGGAAUUGCUUUGGAUACUGUCGGGCUUGAGUGCAGGAGAGGUAAGUGGAAUUCCCAGUGUAGCGGUGAAAUGCGUAGAGAUUGGGAGGAACACCAGUGGCGAAGGCGACUUACUGGACUGUAACUGACGCUGAGGCGCGAAAGUGUGGGGAGCAAACAGGAUUAGAUACCCUGGUAGUCCACACGGUAAACGAUGAAUGCUAGGUGUAGGGGGUAUCGACCCCUUCUGUGCCGCAGUCAACACAAUAAGCAUUCCGCCUGGGGAGUACGGCCGCAAGGUUGAAACUCAAAUGAAUUGGCGGGG